rnacentral:lncRNA from 1 species
GCCCACCAGACACAGUAUGGAGAGAGAGAUAGAGAGAGAGGUAGAGAGAGGGAAAGAGAGGUAGAGAGAGGGAGAGAGAGAGAGAGAGGUAGAGAGGUAGAGAGAGGGGGAGGUAGAGAGAGAGAGGUAGAGAGAGGUAGAGAGAGAGGUAGAGAGAGAGAGGUAGAGAGAGAGAGAGAGAGAGAGGUAGAGAGAGUUAGGGGUAGAGCAGGGCCCACCAGACACAGUAUAGAGAGAGAGAGAGGUAGAGAGAGAGAGGUAGAGAGAGAGGUAGGUAGAGAGAGAGGUAGAGAGAGAGAGAGGGAGGUAGAGAGAGGUAGAGAGAGGGAGGUAGAGAGGUAGAGAGAGAGGUAGAGAGAGAGGUAGAGAGGUAGAGAGGGAGGUAGAGAGGUAGAGAGGUAGAGAGAGAGGUAGAGAGGUAGAGAGGUAGAGAGAGAGGUAGGGGUAGAGCAGG